CCAACGGGAGGCAGCAGUGGGGAAUCUUGCGCAAUGGGCGAAAGCCUGACGCAGCAACGCCGCGUGCGGGAUGACGGCCUUCGUGGUUGUAAACCGCUUUCAGCAGGGACGAAAAUGACGGUACCUGCAGAAGAAGCCCCGGCUAACUACGUGCCAGCAGCCGCGGUAAUACGUAGGGGGCAAGCGUUGUCCGGAUUCAUUGGGCGUAAAGAGCUCGUAGGCGGUUCAGUAAGUCGGGUGGGAAAGCUCCGAGCUCAACUCGGAGAUGCCACCCGAUACUGCUGUGACUUGAGUCCAGUAGAGGAGCGUGGAACUCCUGGUGUAGCGGUGAAAUGCGCAGAUAUCAGGAAGAACACCCGUAGCGAAGGCGGCGCUCUGGGCUGGUACUGACGCUGAGGAGCGAAAGCGUGGGUAGCAAACA
rnacentral:rRNA from 1 species